UACGAAGGGUGCAAACGUUAUUCGGAAUCACUGGGCGUAAAGGGUGCGUAGACGGCAUGUUAAGUUCGUUGUUAAAGGCUCCGGCCUAACCGGAGUACCGCGAUGAAAACUGGCGUACUAGAGGGUGAGAGAGAGAAGUGGAAUUCCUGGAGUAGCGGUAAAAUGCGUGGAUCUCAGGAGGAACACCAAUGGCGAAGGCAGCUUCUUGGCUCAUUCCUGACGUUGAGGCACGAAAGCGUGGGGAGCAAACGGG
rnacentral:rRNA from 1 species